GCCUGGGUGGCUUAGUUGGUUAAGUGUCUGACUUCAGCUCAGGUCAUGAUCUCAAGGUCCUGGGAUCGAGCCCCAUGUCGGGCU
rnacentral:tRNA from 1 species